rnacentral:lncRNA from 1 species
GCUUCUUUUUGGAACCCAUCUGAGAGAUGACAAGAGGCUUUUCUGGGGCCUGAGAUUUUUGUUUCAGCAGC